UACGUAGGGACCAAGCGUUUGUUCGGAUUUACUGGGCGUAAAGGGCGCGUAGGCGGCGUGGUAAGUCAAUUGUGAAAUCUCCGAGCUUAACUCGGAAAGGUCAACUGAUACUGUGCGGCUAGAGUGCGGAAGGGGCAACUGGAAUUCUUGGUGUAGCGGUGAAAUGCGUAGAUAUCAAGAGGAACACCUGCGGCGAAGGCGGGUUGCUGGGCCGAACACUGACGCUGAUGCGCGAAAGCUAGGGGAGCGAACGGG
rnacentral:rRNA from 1 species